GACGAACGCUGGCGGCGUGCUUAACACAUGCAAGUCGAACGGAAAGGCCCUGCUUUUGUGGGGUGCUCGAGUGGCGAAAGGGUGAGUAACACGUGAGUAACCUGCCCUUGACUUUGGGAUAACUUCAGGAAACUGGGGCUAAUACCGGAUAGGAGCUCCUGCUGCAUGGUGGGGGUUGGAAAGUUUCGGCGGUGGGGGAUGGACUCGCGGCUUAUCAGCUUGUUGGUGGGGUAGUGGCUUACCAAGGCUUUGACGGGUAGCCGGCCUGAGAGGGUGACCGGCCACAGUGGGACUGAGAUACGGCCCAGAGUCCUACGGGAGGCAGCAGUGGGGAAUAUUGCACGAUGGGCGGAAGCCGGAUGCAGCAACGCCGCGUGCGGGAUGACGGCCUUCGGGUUGUAAGCCGCUUUCGCCUGUGACGAAGCGUGAGUGACGGUAAUGGGUAAAGAAGCACCGGCUAACUACGUG
rnacentral:rRNA from 1 species